UACGGAGGGGGCUAGCGUUGUUCGGAAUUACUGGGCGUAAAGCGCGCGUAGGCGGACCUGCAAGUCGGGGGUGAAAGCCCGAGGCUCAACCUCGGAACUGCCUUCGAUACUGCGGGUCUCGAGUCCGGGAGAGGUGAGUGGAAUUCCUAGUGUAGAGGUGAAAUUCGUAGAUAUUAGGAAGAACACCAGUGGCGAAGGCGGCUCACUGGCCCGGUACUGACUCUGAGGCGCGAAAGCGUGGGGAGCAAACAGG
rnacentral:rRNA from 1 species